GAUGAACGCUGGCGGCGUGCCUAAUACAUGCAAGUCGAGCGAACGGACGAGAAGCUUGCUUCUCUGAUGUUAGCGGCGGACGGGUGAGUAACACGUGGAUAACCUACCUAUAAGACUGGGAUAACUUCGGGAAACCGGAGCUAAUACCGGAUAAUAUUUUGAACCGCAUGGUUCAAAAGUGAAAGACGGUCUUGCUGUCACUUAUAGAUGGAUCCGCGCUGCAUUAGCUAGUUGGUAAGGUAACGGCUUACCAAGGCAACGAUGCAUAGCCGACCUGAGAGGGUGAUCGGCCACACUGGAACUGAGACACGGUCCAGACUCCUACGGGAGGCAGCAGUAGGGAAUCUUCCGCAAUGGGCGAAAGCCUGACGGAGCAACGCCGCGUGAGUGAUGAAGGUCUUCGGAUCGUAAAACUCUGUUAUUAGGGAAGAACAUAUGUGUAAGUAGCUGUGCACAUCUUGACGGUGCCUAAUCAGAAAGCCACGGCUAACUACGUG
rnacentral:rRNA from 1 species